GACGAACGUUGGCGGCGUGCUUAAUACAUGCAAGUCAACUGAAGCAGUGGUAGCAAUAUCGCUGUGGAGGUGGCGCACGGGUGAGUAACACGUAGGUAAUCUGCCUUCAGGUCUGGCAUAACUCCGGGAAACCGGGGCUAAUAGCAGAUGAUGCAGCGGCUCGACAUCGAGACAGUUGUUAAAGCUAUGGCGCCUGAAGAUGAGCCUGCGUCUGAUUAGCUAGUUGGCGGGGUAACGGCCCACCAAGGCAACGAUCAGUAGCUGGUCUGAGAGGAUGAUCAGCCACACUGGAACUGAGACACGGUCCAGACUCCUACGGGAGGCAGCAGUAAGGAAUAUUGCCCAAUGGGAGAAAUCCUGAAGCAGCAACGCCGCGUGAGGGACGAAGGGCUUUUGCUUGUAAACCUCUGUAGUGAGAGAAAAAAAUCCCAAUCUUUGGGACAUGAUGGUAUCUCAAAAGUAAGCCCCGGCUAACUACGUG
rnacentral:rRNA from 1 species